rnacentral:rRNA from 1 species
CACACCGCCCGUCACACCAUGGAAGCCAGCUGUACCGGAAGUCGGUGCGCCAACCCGCAAGGGGGGCGACUACCACGGUGAGAUUCAUGACUGGGGUG